ACACCGCUCCCUACAGCUUGCACUCUGCCUCUGACUCUCUUCCAAGAACAAUUUGGCAAGUUCUAAUCUACAUCUUGCAAAAAAAAAAAAAAGACAAAAAACAGAGAGGUAGGAGGGCCACAGCACCUGGGGUCCCAGAAGGCAGACUGACCUGUUCCUUACAGCGGGGAGACAAGGUCUCAUUCUGUUGCCCAGGCUGGAGUGCAGUGGUGCAAUCACGGUUCACCGCAACCUGGAACUCUAGGGCUCAAGCAAUCCUCCUGCCUCAGCCUGCCGAGUAGCUGUGACCACAGGUGCGCGCCACCAUGCCCGGCUAAGAUUUCACCAUGUUGCCCAGUUGGUCUUGAACUCCUGGCCUCAAGCAAUUCUCCUGCUUCAGGCUCCCAAGUUGCUGGAAUUACAGGGCUGCACGGAGCCUGCUGAGUCUCCAACCCACCUCACUCACCGCUCUGACCACCGACAGGCAGAGCAAAGGAUGCGGGAGUUGCCUCUGCUGCCCAUCCAAGGGGACGUGGGCAGAGAAGCAAAGGCCUCUGCUCUCCCUCCAUCCAUCCCAGUGUGCUGGCCCCAACAGAACAGGAGUCCUUCAGCUAUUGCCUGCCAGAGACCCAAUUGCAGGGACUGGAGUCUGCAUCUGGAUGAGCUGGGCUGUAGAUUGAAGUCUCAGAAGCAGGGAAGGUUGGAAGGAGUAGGGUCCCAGAGCCCAUGGGGUUAUUGCUGAGAAGAUAUGCAGGGGACACAUUCCCCAGGGGCAGAGUAGAAGCCCUGGGCCUGGAAUCCCCGGGCGCUCUGUGAAGGGGCGGGGCAGAUGGGGACUCCUCGUGGAAGCCCCCGGGAAGAAAUUAACCACGGAAGGGCAUAGCCUGCCUGAAGUCAACGCUGGGCUCACCA
rnacentral:antisense_RNA from 1 species